UGGGGAAUAUUGGACAAUGGGCGCAAGCCUGAUCCAGCCAUGCCGCGUGAGUGAAGAAGGCCUUCGGGUUGUAAAGCUCUUUCAGCGGGGACGAUGAUGACGGUACCCGCAGAAGAAGCCCCGGCUAACUUCGUGCCAGCAGCCGCGGUAAUACGAAGGGGGCUAGCGUUGUUCGGAAUUACUGGGCGUAAAGAGUACGUAGGCGGUACGUUAAGUUAGAGGUGAAAUCCCAGGGCUCAACCUUGGAAUUGCCUUUAAAACUGGCGAACUAGAGGCCGAGAGAGGGUGGCGGAAUACCCAGUGUAGAGGUGAAAUUCGUAGAUAUUGGGUAGAACACCAGUGGCGAAGGCGGCCACCUGGCUCGGUACUGACGCUGAGGUACGAAAGCGUGGGGAGCAAACAGG
rnacentral:rRNA from 1 species